rnacentral:rRNA from 1 species
UACGUAGGUGGCGAGCGUUGUCCGGAUUUACUGGGCGUAAAGAGCGCGCAGGCGGUCGUUCAAGUCGCGUGUGAAAGCCCCCGGCUCAACUGGGGAGGGUCACGCGAUACUGAUCGACUGGAAGGCAGGAGAGGGUAGUGGAAUUCCCGGUGUAGUGGUGAAAUGCGUAGAUAUCGGGAGGAACACCAGUGGCGAAGGCGACUUCCUGGCCUGUUCUUGACGCUGAGGCGCGAAAGCUAGGGGAGCAAACGGG